UAGGCGCUACAACGCCGAAAUGACCUUCUCACCCUUGUGUACUCACUAUGUUGCUUUGGCGGGUCGACCUGGUUCCGACCCAGGCGGCCGGCGCCCCCAGCCUUAACUGGCCAGGACGCCCGGCUAAGUGCCCGCCAGUAUACAAAACUCAAGAAUUCAUUUUGUGAAGUCCUGAUAUAUCAUUUAAUUGAUUAAAACUUUCAACAACGGAUCUCUUGGUUCUGGCAUCGAUGAAGAACGCAGCGAAAUGCGAUAAGUAAUGUGAAUUGCAGAAUUCAGUGAAUCAUCGAAUCUUUGAACGCACAUUGCGCCCUCUGGUAUUCCGGAGGGCAUGCCUGUUCGAGCGUCAUUUCAACCCUCAAGCUCUGCUUGGUAUUGGGCAACGUCCGCUGCCGGACGUGCCUUGAAGACCUCGGCGACGGCGUCCUAGCCUCGAGCGUAGUAGUAAAAUAUCUCGCUUUGGAGUGCUGGGCGACGGCCGCCGGACAAUCGACCUUCGGUCUAUUUUUCCAAGGUUGACCUCGGAUCAGGUAGGGAUACCCGCUGAACUUAAACAUAUCAAUAAGCGGAGGAAAAGAAACCAACAGUGAUUUGCAUAUAGUAACGGAGAGUUGACGCCGAAAUAGCAUCAAAUUUGAA
rnacentral:rRNA from 1 species